rnacentral:rRNA from 1 species
UACGUAGGGGGCAAGCGUUGUCCGGAUUUACUGGGCGUAAAGAGCGUGUAGGCGGCCACGCAGGUCCGUUGUGAAAACUGGAGGCUCAACCUCCAGACGUCGACGGAAACCGUAUGGCUAGAGUCCGGAAGAGGAGAGUGGAAUUCCUGGUGCAGCGGUGAAAUGCGCAGAUAUCAGGAAGAACACCAAUGGCGAAGGCAGCUCUCUGGGAUGGUACUGACGCUGAGACGCGAAAGCGUGGGGAGCGAACAGG